rnacentral:tRNA from 1 species
CGGGAUGUGGCGCAGUGGCAGCGCACCGGUUUUGGAAACCGGGGAUCGCCGGUUCGAAUCCGGUCAUCCCGA